AGAACACUCCUAUGCCACCUUCACCAGCUGUACAAGUGCAGGGCCAGCCUAGCAGUUCUCAGCCUUCUCCAGUCAGUGCGUCCAGUCAGCAUGCAGAUCCAGUGAGAAAACCUGGGCAGAACUUCAUGUGUCUGUGGCAGUCUUGUAAAAAGUGGUUUCAGACUCCCUCACAAGUGUUCUAUCAUGCAGCUACUGAACAUGGAGGAAAAGAUGUGUAUCCGGGGCAGUGUCUUUGGGAAGGCUGUGAGCCUUUCCAACGGCAGAGGUUCUCUUUCAUUACCCACUUACAGGAUAAGCACUGUUCAAAGGAUGCCCUGCUUGCAGGAUUAAAGCAAGAUGAACCAGGACAAGUGGCAAAUCAAAAAUCUUCUACCAAGUAAAGAAACUUAACUUACUAAUGCACAUAAAGAACAAAUAGCACUUACAAUGGUCAGAGCCUGCCUCCUAUUCUUGGCACUGAAAACAAAAAAAUAGAAAACUAGGGAGACACAAGACAAACAAGAAAUAGUAUGGGAAAGCUAAAACCUGUAUUCUAACCCAGCUCAUACUACCAAGCUAUGUGAUUGUGCUUAAACUACAUAAGUUCUCUCCAUAGCAGCUGUCCUGUGUGGUCCAUAGGUCCCUAACUUUGGAGACAAGUCAUUAGGCAGACAAAUAAUAUAAGAGGGAAAGCGACAUAAAUCAGAAGUGUACUAAGGUCUUUUUGUAGGAGUGGAUUUCAUCUAUUUGGUAAUGGCAAAGAGACUAUAAACACGUAUCUAUAAGCAUAUACAUACAUACAUCCUGGAUUACAUAUGAACAUUAUCUCUAUAUUAUAUUUUUAAUAUCCAAAAUUUAUAUCUAAAAAAAAAUCAGAAAUAUCCCUAGUUCACAUGCAUAUAUAUAUAUCAUCUGUGUGCCUUCAGAAGAAACCCAGUUUGUUAGAACGUGCCCACCAGUGCGGUGUCCACCGCUGCCUUCCAGCGCAGCAGGCCAUGCAGCCUGUCACCAUGGCCAGAGACUGGGGCUCUGUGCUGGAUUAUCUGUGUAGGCGCAUCCUGUGUCUUCCAUGAGCACAAGAGCUUCUUCUUAGGACUCCUUUGUGUCGCAGUGAUGGGCCGAAGGGAACAUUGUUGAGGAGAGCUCUGUGAUUGUUGCCCUUAGCCGAGGUUCUGAUUCCCAGGGCAGUUUUCUUCCUGAUCUGAAAUUGCAGGCUCUUUGCUUCUUCACAUCACUGUCAAAGACGAUGAGAACUCUCCACCUCUGCUGCCAUGCUAUGCUGCAGUUAGCUCACAUAGUAACAGAGAUGGACCAUGCAGGGCAAUCUGUUUGUUGUUUGCUCUGAAACGGACAGACUGAGCGGUGUGCAGCACUGUGUCCUGUAAUACCAGCAGGCAGUAGGGUGGACAGAUCAAGGCCUGCCUGAGCUCCAUAGCUAAGACCCUGUCUGAAAGAAAAGGGAUCGACUGGAAAAUACAGCCCUAACACAGCGUAGGCAUGUGUGGGCUGGGUGGGCACAGUUGUCUCUCUGUGCAUCUAACCGUGUCCAUCUGAUCACUUAGGCAGCCCACCGUGGGGGGCACAGGCUCUGCGCCCAGAGCCCAGAAGGCCAUUGCAAGCCACCCCAGUGCUGCACUCAUGGCUCUGCGGAGAGGCUCAAGGAACCUCGUCUUCCGGGACUUCACAGAUGAAAAAGAGGGACCAAUAACUAAACACAUCCGACUAACAGCUGCCUUAAUAUUAAAAAAUAUUGGUAAAUACUCAGAGUGUGGGCGCAGAUUGUUAAAGAGACAUGAAAACAACUUAUCAGUGCUCGCCAUUAGUAACAUGGAAGCUUCCUCUACCCUUGCCAAAUGCCUUUAUGAACUUAAUUUUACAGUUCAGAGUAAAGAACAAGAAAAAGACUCAGAAAUGCUGUAGUGAAUCCUACCCCACUGACACAGUGGGGUCUCAAAGUCAAAUACAUUUCACAUACUGUUACUGAAGAAAGCACCAAGUCUUAAUGGAGCAGAGACCAUAGAAUGAAUUAUUUUGUGUCCUCCAUGAUGCUGAGAGGAAACUUCGUAUUCUGAUCUCUGAACGAAUCCCUUUCUUUUCUGUUAAAAAAAAAAAAUCUAAAAAGGAAAAAAAAAAAAAAAAAAACAAAAACUGCUGUGGGAUUGUCAACCAGCUUAUCUGCAGGAUGUCUCGGAUCUGGCCAAUCCUGAUGGAAACUGGUGUGAUCAGAAUUCUGUACCAUCCACAUUGGAAUAUACAUGGAAUAGUGUAAAACCUACGUGAGCAGAUGAAAUAGAAGCAUUAAAUAUUUUUAUCUAUAUCCAAAAAGGAGCACAUUUUUAUAUUUACAGAACCAUUUAAGCUGGUUUGAAUAACGACAGAGUUUGAGCACACCUAUCCCCCAGCUUCAGAGGGGCCACCAAUAUCUAGCUGUGGAUUGUGUGUUUUGUUUAGAAUCAGUAGCUUGGUUUUCUUACUUGAGCCAAUAUAUUUUCACUUAUUUAUUAUCAUAAAAAUUUACCAGUCUGAAUAGAUCUUGUAAAUAUUUGUGAAUAGAAUGAACACUGUUCAUACCACUGCAGCCACUGGAGAUACAUCCUGUGGUGUCCUAGAAGCAUUAUCGGUAGGCUCUAAAGUUUUCUAGACUUUGCUGUCAACUGUAAGUAAUUGUGAUAUAUUCUACGCAGUGGAUGGAUAUUCUUUAAAUCUGUGUAAAUACUUCUGCAAAGGUACUGAUGCUGUAAAGUCAAACAGUUUUGUGGAACUGUGAUUUUUUUUUUCCUCCUUUUUUGGUUUCCUUGGCCCCCACUUGGGUUUGGUGGGGUUUUGUUUUUGUUUUGUUUUGUAUUAUACACCUUGUAGAACUCAUUUUGCUGGCUGAAAGAGUAUGGAAUAAUAUAUCUCAUAUGUCAUUUUUGUAGAAGAGAAACUAUUUGGAUUUCCUUUUUGUUGGUUUGGUUUUCCCUAACACGUGUCCGCUGUACGCAUUCGUCACGUGCAAGCUCAGCUUGUGCAGGGUUUUUUGUAUUUGUAAAUUGGUUUAAAUACAUGGAAUUUUAUACAGGUUUUCUCCUGUGUUAUAUAUGCAUUAUGUGCAGGUAUGAUAUUUUCUUCACUACUUUUUCUAUCUUAAUAUAGUGUGGAAUUUUAUUGUAUUAUUCUUCCAUUCUUAAUACUGUACCACAUUCCUGCUCAGAAACUGCUCACUUCCUUAAAUUGUCUUUUCCCCCAAGCGUGAAAUGUAUCCACUUAUAACUGCCUAUUGCCUGUUCUAUUAGCAUCCAAAAAUGUGGAAGGCCUCCCAACCACCAUUUCUGCUGUGUCCUUAGGAUGUGCAGUAAAAAAAUAUAGACCUGACAGUUUAUGUUAUAGAAUGGCUUUAUUUACUUUGGUGACUGUUUAUAGUUUUUAAAUAAAAGACUGAACAUUU
rnacentral:lncRNA from 1 species